AUUGAACGCUGGCGGCAUGCCUUACACAUGCAAGUCGAACGGCAGCACGGGAGCAAUCCUGGUGGCGAGUGGCGAACGGGUGAGUAAUAUAUCGGAACGUGCCCAGUCGUGGGGGAUAACGUAGCGAAAGCUACGCUAAUACCGCAUACGAUCUAUGGAUGAAAGCGGGGGAUCGCAAGACCUCGCGCGAUUGGAGCGGCCGAUAUCAGAUUAGGUAGUUGGUGGGGUAAAAGCCUACCAAGCCUUCGAUCUGUAGCUGGUCUGAGAGGACGACCAGCCACACUGGAACUGAGACACGGUCCAGACUCCUACGGGAGGCAGCAGUGGGGAAUUUUGGACAAUGGGCGCAAGCCUGAUCCAGCAAUGCCGCGUGCAGGAUGAAGGCCUCGG
rnacentral:rRNA from 1 species